rnacentral:rRNA from 1 species
AUACGUAGGGUGCGAGCGUUGUCCGGAAUUGCUGGGCGUAAAGAGCUCGUAGGUGGUUUGUCGCGUCGUCUGUGAAAUUCCGGGGCUUAACUCCGGGCGUGCAGGCGAUACGGGCAUAACUUGAGUACUGUAGGGGAGACUGGAAUUCCUGGUGUAGCGGUGAAAUGCGCAGAUAUCAGGAGGAACACCGGUGGCGAAGGCGGGUCUCUGGGCAGUAACUGACGCUGAGGAGCGAAAGCAUGGGUAGCGAACAGGAUUAGAUACCCUGGUAGUCCAUGCCGUAAACGGUGGGCGCUAGGUGUAGGGGUCUUCCACGACUUCUGUGCCGUAGCUAACGCAUUAAGCGCCCCGCCUGGGGAGUACGGCCGCAAGGCUAAAACUCAAAUGAAUUGACGGGG